AGCUCAUUACAACAGCCACCGUUUACUAGAAUAUAGUUAUCUUACUUGGAUAACUGUGGCAAUUCUAGAGCUAAUACAUGCAAAAAAGCUCUGCCCGCAAGGAACGAGCGCAUUUAUUAGAAUAAAAACCAAUCGGGUUUCGGCCCGUAAUUUGGUGAAUCUGAAUAACUUUGCCAAUCGCACAGUCCUAGUACUGGCGAUGUAUCUUUCAAGUGUCUGCCUUAUCAACUUUCGAUGGUAGGUUAUACGCCUACCAUGGUAGUAACGGGUAACGGAGAAUAAGGGUUCGACUCCGGAGAGGGAGCCUGAGAAACGGCUACCACAUCCAAGGAAGGCAGCAGGCGCGCAAAUUACCCACUUCCAGAACGGAGAGGUAGUGACGAAAAAUAACGAGACAGUCCUCUUCGAGGUCUGUCAUCGGAAUGGGUACAAUUUAAAUCCUUUAACGAGGAUCUAUUGGAGGGCAAGUCUGGUGCCAGCAGCCGCGGUAAUUCCAGCUCCAAUAGCGUAUAUUAAAGUUGUUGCGGUUAAAACGCUCGUAGUUGGAUUUGCGGCCUCGGAGAACGGUCCCCCGAAAGGGUGGUCACUGUCUCUCCUAGCCUAAUUUCGAGUCGUCUCUAGGUGCUCUUUACCGAGUGCUUAGAGUGACUAGAACGUUUACUUUGAAAAAAUUAGAGUGCUUAAAGCAGGCGAAAUAGCCUGAAUAAGGUGCAUGGAAUAAUGGAAUAGGACCUCGGUUCUAUUUUGUUGGUUUUCGGAACCCGAGGUAAUGAUUAAGAGGAACAGACGGGGGCAUUCGUAUUCCGGCGCUAGAGGUGAAAUUCUUGGACCGCCGGAAGACGGACAACUGCGAAAGCAU
rnacentral:rRNA from 1 species